rnacentral:rRNA from 1 species
UACGUAGGGUGCGAGCGUUGUCCGGAAUUAUUGGGCGUAAAGAGCUCGUAGGCGGUCAGUCGCGUCUGCUGUGAAAACUCGGGGCUUAACUCCGGGCCUGCAGUGGGUACGGGCUGACUAGAGUGCGGUAGGGGAGACUGGAAUUCCUGGUGUAGCGGUGAAAUGCGCAGAUAUCAGGAGGAACACCGGUGGCGAAGGCGGGUCUCUGGGCCGUAACUGACGCUGAGGAGCGAAAGCGUGGGGAGCGAACAGG